CCCAUGCCAACUGCAACGCAAAACUGAACACAACGAAGAACGAGCACGAUGGCGCAGCCGUCCGCUGUGAGCGUGCGCGUACUGCCGAAAAGGAGACACAUUUGCCGCUUCCAAUGUCCAGUAGCCGCGCCUGUGAUGACGCAGUCCCCAGCACAAGCCGCGCGGGCAUGGAGGCAGCGGCGUUCGCUGGAAACAACGUGAGGGAUGCUACUGGCUCCACACAUAGGGGAAAACGCGAAGAUAUCAGCGGCGUCUACAAUGACGUCAACCACGGCACGAAAACAUCAGGGGAACGAAGCCACAAGUGCGAAGUAUGUGGCAAUUCAUUUAAAAGAAAGCGUACUCUCGCGAGACAUUGCCUCGCGCAUACAGGCGACAAGCCCUAUCAGUGCAACAUAUGUGAUCAAUCAUUUUCACGAAAGGAUUAUCUCCAUGUACAUCGCCGCACUCACACAGGCGAGAAGCCCUAUCAUUGCGACUUAUGUGAUAAAUCAUUCUCA